UACGGGGGGGGGCAAGCGUUGUUCGGAAUUACUGGGCGUAAAGGGUUCGUAGGUGGCCAACUAAGUCAGACGUGAAAUCCCUCGGCUCAACCGGGGAACUGCGUCUGAUACUGGUUGGCUUGAGUGCAGGAGAGGAACGCGGAAUUCCAGGUGUAGCGGUGAAAUGCGUAGAUAUCUGGAGGAACACCGGUGGCGAAGGCGGCGUUCUGGACUGCAACUGACACUGAGGAACGAAAGCCAGGGGAGCAAACGGG
rnacentral:rRNA from 2 species